GUCCCCGUAGCUCAGCGGAUAGAGCGCCUGGCUUCGAACCAGGAGGCCGAAGGUCCAAAUCCUUCCGGGGACA
rnacentral:tRNA from 2 species